UAGAGGCUUUGCCGAUGAGCCGUGGGUCACGACGUUUCGCCAGUUAUGAUCCGUGGAACAGGAACAUGGCUUUUCUGUUAGUGCGGCCGGAUAGAGUUAUUGUAGGUUCGUUUCCUCUCUGAAACUUGUAGAGGCGAAUCCGGGGUAGGAGACGGCGCCAGGGAUGGAUUUCUUGAUGCAGACUAUAAGCGGCUAAGCGAUGGAAUCUUUGGUUUGGCUUAACUAAUUUGGAGUAGGAUGUCUGCUAAAUAUGCUAUCUGUUGUGUAUCCGUACCAGAUCCCCUGUGCUUUAAGAGGUGGAGGACAAUGAAGCCCCCCAUGGAUCUGCCACCUUCCACGGUGGCUGCUUUGGUGGGGAAGCUGGAACAAGCGCCGGCGCCAGUCUUGAGUGUAGGCGCGCAGAUCUGGGAUGAAGAAGCCGUGGUUGGAGGAAGGAAUAACUCACACCCGGUGUCCGCGCAGUCGACCAGCAAGCCCGGGGUGGACUAAGAGUUUUCAGGCUAGCUUGGCGUCUCCCAUGGCAGCGUGUCCUCGACGAAGUGCUGCAUGCGUGGCAGCCGCGACCGUCCUCUUGCGAUGGUGCGGGGUCAGCGACGUGGCACUUGCUUGGUGCCUUUCGCGAUAGCGACGCAACCUUGCGGCAUGGUGCAGCCAUGGCAGUGGUCGCCCUCUCUCUUACGAUGGUGCGGGCGUGGUAGCGGCAGUCACCCUCUAUCUUCGGGGCAGCCAUGGAAGUGGCAGUCAUCCUCCCAGCAACGAGGGCGAGCAAUGGCGACGGCCAGCGAGCGUGUUGUUUUUUGGCCGCACAGCACGCAUUGUUGUUACUCAUAUUUGUUUCCACCUUGCUGAUGUUGGAUGGCGCAUGAACGGUGAUGUGAAUUGGACGUCCCUCUACUGUAAAUGUUUCAAUCAUAUGGUGCCAACACUGGAUCUCCUUACAGGAGAAGGUUUUGCUGAGUUUGGCCCGGAUGGUGAGUUGACAACCAUUGGAUGAACAUGUGUGACACAUGAUCAUUUACAACGAGGGCUGAAUGUAUGGCACAUGGGCAAUGAGAUAUGGUGGCACGUAUCAUCUCCA